AGCAGCCGCGGUAAUUCCAGCUCCAAUAGCGUAUAUUAAAGUUGCUGCAGUUAAAAAGCUCGUAGUUGAAUUUCGGGACCAUCAUGUCGGUCGUGCCUCGGUACGUACUGGCAUUGUUGGUUUCUACCUUCUGACGAACCAUGAUGUCAUUUAUUUGGUGUCGUGGGAAAUCAGGACUGUUACUUUGAAAAAUUAGAGUGUUUAAAGCAGGCUCACGCUUGAAUACAUUAGCAUGGAAUAAUGAAAUAGGACGUUUGAUUCUAUUUUGUUGGUUUCUAGGAUCGACGUAAUGAUUAAUAGGGAUAGUUGGGGGCAUUAGUAUUCAAUUGUCAGAGGUGAAAUUCUUGGAUUUAUUGAAGACUAACUACUGCGAAAGCAUUUGCCAAGGAUGUUUUCAUUAAUCAAGAACGAAAGUUAGGGGAUCGAAGACGAUCAGAUACCGUCGUAGUCUUAACCAUAAACUAUGCCGACUAGGGAUCGGAUGAUGUUAAUUUUUAAUGACUCAUUCGGCG
rnacentral:rRNA from 1 species